GACCGACGUGGAGCUUGCAGUCCUGACUGUCCCCGCAUGUCUCACUAUCGUACGCUGGGUUCCUCCUGGGCUGGGACAGAUGCUUUCCAUUUGGAACAAGUGUUUCAUGAGAGCCCUUAAGGAUGAUUGGGGACAGGGAUCCUGCAAAGACAGGAUGUCCUCCAAGCCUGGAGAUGAAGGUGACAGAAGCUAUGGAAGGCUCCAGACCCAGUGUCCUGGAGCCUCAACUGGCUGUCUUGGUUCAUGCAUGCCUGCAGGAUAUAUCCAUUUUAACAGAAGGUUCCUGUUCUGACCAUCCAAACCAUAAACAAGAAUGAAGUCAGCUGCCUGGAGCAAUCCCUGGAGACCUGAGGCAUGGCCAGAGCCCAGAGAUAAUUGUGCUUCUCAGAUCAGGUGUUUGGAGACAAGACUCUGCUUUGAGUGUGUGAAAUGGUCCAUGGAGACACAUUGUUUG
rnacentral:lncRNA from 1 species